rnacentral:lncRNA from 1 species
GAUUGUUUGAAGCAUGCCGAGUGAUGACCUGAACUAGUGUCCUACAUUAGUCAAGACUGUGAAGAAAUUCCUGAAUUCCUGGGAAGAAAAUAUGGACAUAUGGCAAAAAGACUAGAUCUUAGCUUCAACUUGUUAAGUCAUUGCUUUAUGGUUGAUGUGAAGGAGACCAGUGAAUGAACUAAUUUUAAAAAUAUCAAGUCCGUGGCUUACGUAUUUCCUCAUGAUCGCUGUUACGAAACAAGAGUGAAGGCCUGCAGAAAUAACUUAUCUGAGGACGAGAAGCUUGACUGAAAGGAAGAACCUGCAUUAACUCUGAAGCUAUUGUCUCUUUUGCUCUCUGUUUUGUUGGAAGGUAUCUUCUCUGUUUGACUAAGAAGGCAAGAUUCUCAACACCUAACUUCAGCUGUUAAGAACUUGAUUAUUCUUGCUUACCAUCACUGAGUAAAAAGGGCUUCUGUCUUCCACUAUUCAACAAGCCUGCUGAGUGAUCAUGUUACAAAUAGCUAGCUUGG